UCUUCUGCCUUUGUGUGCUUUCUCUCUCUCCUGCUUCCAAGUCAAGAUGUGCUGGCUUCUCCUUUGCCCUUCUGUCAUUAUUGUAAGUUUCAUGAGGCCUCGGAGCCACGCUUCCUGUAUAGCCUGCAGAACUGUGAUCAUUCCACUCUUCUGCUAAUGUCAUGUUCUGGUUCAGGGAGUCCUCCAGGGAUGGCCAUACCUUUCUCUCCAAGAGCUUUGGCGAACUCUACUCCAAUCUGAACAGGUUACUCAAUGUGAAGAUGACAACAAGGGUGAAGACUUUAAUGAUGAUCCACUUCCACUUAAAAAAUAAUAAAUAUAUUUUCUC
rnacentral:lncRNA from 1 species